AGCAGCAGCCGCGGUAAUACGAAGGGGGCUAGCGUUGCUCGGAAUUACUGGGCGUAAAGGGAGCGUAGGCGGAUCGUUAAGUUGGGGGUGAAAGCCCGGGGCUCAACCUCGGAAUUGCCUUCAAUACUGGCGAUCUUGAGUAUGGAAGAGGUAUGUGGAACUCCGAGUGUAGAGGUGAAAUUCGUAGAUAUUCGGAAGAACACCAGUGGCGAAGGCGGCUCACUGGACGACUGUUGACGCUGAGGUACGAAAGCGUGGGGAGCAAACAGGAUUGGAUACCCCCGUAGUCCCUGUCUCUUAUAC
rnacentral:rRNA from 1 species